rnacentral:rRNA from 1 species
AUGGUGUCCCCAAACUUUUUAGGCUGCUGCUCCUGUGUCCAUGGCGUCCCGAAGAAGCAAGGUUGUUUGAUGCAUUCGUGCUCGUCGGCGGUACGGUGCAAGGCGCAACUCCGACGCGGUUCCUCGCCGGUUGGAUGGCGUUCAGGCGCAACCCCGGCGCGCACUGAGUACUGCCGCGGCUACAACCUCUCUCGAAACUUCAUCACAGGAGGAGUGGAGGUGUGUCUGCUGGGGCGGCGUCGGCGACAGCUUGGUAAGGGGGCAACGGGGGCUUCUUGGGGAGGGGACAGCGCUGCCAGCUGCUCCGGGAUGGGGUGGCGUUGCUGGCUGCUAGGGGUGGGGCGGCGUCUGAUUCUCUAUGAGCAGGAGGAAAGGGAGAACAAGCGGGAGAAGGGAGGGAAUGAGCUAUGCGUUGGUAUGAACCAUUGUUUGGACUGCACCCCUAAUUUUACGUCGCUACACACAUUUGGCGGUAGCCAUCGGCCAUCUCGUCUUCUGGCCUGCAGCUCGCCAACCUCGCCUGCUCGAACCCAAGACACCACUACUUCUAGGUCCCACAGCUUGAUCCCGCCAAGAAGGCAGGAGGAGGAGGAAGCUGAGAGGGAGAGGGCGAGGAGAUCUCGGUCUGCACAUUGCGUCUCCCACAAGCUACUGCGGCGGGAGAAUCCUAUACCCAACAUCCUUCUCAAAGCCUGCAGCUACUACCUCCCCAAGCAAUGCCAACCUGUAGCAACAAGAUUUAAGAUCUCCAGUGAGCUUCCAUGGGAUUGGCAGGAGAGGAGGAGCAGAGCUGACCAACUCUGCUCAAGAUCACCUUUCUACAACAAUGUAAGCAGCUUCCCUUACGAGGUGUACCACGAGAUCAUACUGUACACGAGUGCUUUGGAGAAAAAAUUCCAUCGUUGUGCUACUGAACCUUGUUUCUUAUUGUAUGUCUGUUGUUCCGCCAACAGAGGAGCGCCGGGGAGAGAACCCAUUGUAUGCAGAAGCGUGAAGGAGUCCAUACAGUGCAGGCUGGUCAACCGUGAGUUUGACCUUCCACUGCUUGGCCAUAUCGGUUGGACUGGCACCCUCGUGCCGAGACGCGUUGCCGAUCUAGUGCACCAUUAUUUGUGUUUGCCUCUCGAUGCGCCGGAACCACCGGGGCCACCCCAGGCUGGAAAGCUCACCCUACUGCCACUAACUGGUGCCGCUAACAGAGAUGCCUUUACACAAAAGAUAAAGGCAGUAAUAACCACGUUGUGUAUCUUUCUCGUACAGAUGUGCCAUGUAGUGGAGUUGCACGUGAUGGAAAAGACAAGACAGGCUGUGCAUUGCACCAUUGAAAAAAAGGGGGAAGAGGGCACGGGGCUGCACGGGCACGCACUAGUUGAACCUCGUAUGAUGGCAUAG